UUUUAUUCUACCUACUUCUGAAGAUGGAUAAAAAUCUGUUCCAUUUAAGUAAAAGGGGAAGUGUGGGCGGAUUCCACGUGUAUCCCGAGCAAAAGCUGUCUGGAAGGGAUGUUAGAGGGGAGCUCUUUAUUCUGCAUCAAGGCAGGAUCCAGGAAAUAGGGGCAGGAUGUCUGUGUCACCAAAGCUAG
rnacentral:lncRNA from 1 species